GAGGGUAUAGCUCAGUGGUAGAGUGCAUGCUUAGCAUGCACGAGGUCCUGGGGUUAAUCCCCAGUACCUCCA
rnacentral:tRNA from 1 species